GACGAACGCUGGCAGCGUGCUUAACACAUGCAAGUCGAACGGAAAGGCCCUGCUUGCCGGGUACUCGAGUGGCGAACGGGUGAGUAACACGUGGGUGAUCUGCCCUGCACUUCGGGAUAAGCUUGGGAAACUGGGUCUAAUACCGGAUAGGAGCCAUCUUUAGUGUGGUGGUUGGAAAGUUUUUUCGGUGUAGGAUGAGCUCGCGGCCUAUCAGCUUGUUGGUGGGGUAAUGGCCUACCAAGGCGGCGACGGGUAGCCGGCCUGAGAGGGUGUACGGCCACAUUGGGACUGAGAUACGGCCCAGACUCCUACGGGAGGCAGCAGUGGGGAAUAUUGCACAAUGGGCGCAAGCCUGAUGCAGCGACGCCGCGUGGGGGAUGAAGGCCUUCGGGUUGUAAACUCCUUUCGCUAGGGACGAAGCUUUGUUGUGACGGUACCUAGAGAAGAAGCACCGGCUAACUACGUG
rnacentral:rRNA from 1 species